rnacentral:rRNA from 1 species
AGUUGAUAGACACCGGCGUAAAAUGUGGUUAGGAAAUAAAUAAACUAAAGCCGAACAUCUUCAAGGCUGUCAUACGCACCCGAAGAUAUGAAGUACUACUACGAAAGUAGCUUUAAAUAUCCGAACCCACGAAAGCUAGGCCACAAACUGGGAUUAGAUACCCCACUAUGUCUAGCCCUAAACAAAGGUAGCAACCUUACAUCUGCUACUCGCCAGGGAACUACGAGCAUAAGCUUAAAACCCAAAGGACUUGGCGGUGCUUUAGAUCCACCUAGAGGAGCCUGUCCUAGAACCGAUAACCCCCGUUCAACCUCACCCUUUCUUGUUAUUCCCGCUUAUAUACCGCCGUCGUCAGCUUACCCUGUGAAGGGUUAAUAGUAAGCACAACUGGCACAACCCAACACGUCAGGUCGAGGUGUAGCGUAUGAAAGGGGAAGAGAUGGGCUACAUUCACUGUUACAGUGUACACGGAUAACAAGUUGAAACACCCGUUUAAAGGAGGAUUUAGCAGUAAGGAGAAAAGCAGAGCGUUCCCCUGAAACCGGCCCUGAAGCGCGCACACACCGCCCGUCACUCUCCCCGACCCUGCAAACUACAGUAAAUAACACACUAAAGCUAUUAAAGGGGAGGCAAGUCGUAACAUGGUAAGUGUACCGGAAGGUGCACUUGGAAUAACC